ensembl:lncRNA
CUGUCUUUAUGAGCGAGUCACUGAAUCGUUCACUCGACCGAUUUGUUCAAAAACAAAGAUUCAUACCGGAAUGAAAUGAAGGGCUGUCUUUAUGAGCGAGUCACUGAAUCGUUCACUCGACCGAUUUGUUUAAAAACAAAGAUUCAUACAGGAAUGAAAUGAAGGGCUGUCUUUAUGAGCGAGUCACUGAAUCAUUAACUCGACCGAUUUGUUUAAAAACAAAGAUUCAUACAGGAAUGAAAUGAAGGGCUGUCUUUAUGAGCGAUCACUGAAUCGUUCACUCGACCGAUUUGUUCAAAAACAAAGAUUCAUACAGGAAUGAAAUGAACGGCUGUCUUUAUGAGCGAGUCACUGAAUCGUUCACUCGACCGAUUUGUUCAAAAACAAAGAUUCAUACAGGAAUGAAAUGAACGGCUGUCUUUAUGAGCGAUCACUGAAUCGUUCACUCGACCGAUUUGUUCAAAAACAAAGAUUCAUACAGGAAUGAAAUGAAGGGCUGUCUUUAUGAGCGAGUCACUGAAUCAUUCACUCGACCGAUUUGUUUAAAAACAAAACAAAGAUUCAUUAAGGAAUAAAACAAUUGACUGUCUUUAUAAGAGAGUCAUUGAAUAAUUCACUCAGUUUCUUUACACAAACAUUCAGAAAAGAAAAACCACUACUGUGUGUUAAUCAUUUCAGAUGGCUAAUUAAAAACAAAAAUACUGGCAAUGUUGUGUCUUAAUGUUAGUUACUUGAUAUUAACUUCUUGUUUAUCAAACUUCUGUGUAAAUCCAGCAUCCCUCUGUCACCUGUGCUGUUGUACUGAAUAUCAGCACCCCACCGCUUUCCAAAACCAUCCGCAAAGCU